UGUCCAUGGCACCUCAGCAGUCAGGUGGCGAAUGAUGUCGUUACCUUUAAAUUCUAAACCCCGCCCUCUUAUGUAAAUGAAUCUCCUUAUCCGUCGACGGAAGCGGCUCGCGUCUGUCAGAGAGAUAUCGCCUUUAAAGGCGCAUUAAAACAGCGGCAGAAGUGCAGAACCCGAGAAGAGCAGCAACAGAACUAGCACAACAACAUCAUCUUCAUUUCUGACAGAGAAAUAAACACAGCAACGCGCGCGUCAGGGUUCUCAGCCAGCUGCGCGUCCGGACAGAAGACACGACGCUGCUCUCAUAUGCAGUCCGACUGGAUAUUUAUGAAGCUUUCAAGGCCUUUUGGUGAGUCACACUAUCUUUGCACUGCUCUUGUUCUCACUGCUGGACUGUGUUCAAACUGAUAUCAUGUUAUCCAAGAAUAGUACAUAAAAAAAUGUGUUUCUAUUUUUGUAUCCUUGAAGUGAGUAGUGAGUAGUAUUUGUUUAUGCCAUAUAUUUAUUAAUUUGCUUAUUUGUUGUUGUUGUUGUUAUUAUUUUCUUGCC
ensembl:lncRNA